AAUAGUUAAGAGAAUUUAAUAUUAAAAAUUGAAUUGAAUGAUUAAAAAUAUUUAAAAAAUAAAAAAGUAAUGAUUGUGAUGUUGAAUUGAAGAUAAGUGGAGUUGAGUUGAAUUGAGUUGAAAAUUGUUGCGAAUCCAAACACACUUUAAGUCAUUCUCUGUCCAUGAUUUUACUUUUCUUCUCCCCCUUCCCUGCUCCAACCGAUCCAUGCUCCAAUCGAUCACUGAUCUCAUCGAUCCUUGUUCUGCCUCUGCCGCACGCUGCUGCUGAUUCUCCAUCCCGGUCUAUCACUCUCGGAUCUCCAUGUAGGCCAUCACCGAUUCGGCUCAAGUCCUAGGCUCGCCAUGCUGUCCCUAUCGUGAAUGGCUCUGGAGCCCCUUAUUGUUGCCUCUUACCGUUUCAGCUUAAAAAACUUUGGCCGUUCAGACUUUGACCAUCGAUGAUUUACCGGUGUAGUCCGACACCUACCAAGCUUUUGUUUUGGUGCC